AUUGAACGCUGGCGGCGUGCUUUACACAUGCAAGUCGAACGGCAGCACGGACUUCGGUCUGGUGGCGAGUGGCGAACGGGUGAGUAAUACAUCGGAACGUACCCAGUAAUGGGGGAUAACUAUCCGAAAGGAUAGCUAAUACCGCAUACGCCCUACGGGGGAAAGAGGGGGAUCGCAAGACCUCUUGUUAUUGCAGCGGCCGAUGGCUGAUUAGCUAGUUGGUGAGGUAAAGGCUCACCAAGGCGACGAUCAGUAGCGGGUCUUAGAGGACGAUCCGCCACACUGGAACUGAGACACGGUCCAGACUCCUACGGGAGGCAGCAGUGGGGAAUCUUGGACAAUGGGCGCAAGCCUGAUCCAGCAAUGCCGCGUGCGUGAAGAAGGCCUUCGGGUUGUAAAGCGCUUUUGUCAAGGAGCAAAUCCUUGUGGCUAAUACCCACCGGGGAUGAGAGUACCUGAAGAAUAAGGACCGGCUAACUACGUGCCAGCAGCCGCGGUAAAAC
rnacentral:rRNA from 1 species